AUCCAGAUGACGAGUCCCAAAUAGGACGAAACCCACGUCCUGGAU
rfam:Schistosoma mattheei strain Denwood, Zambia genome assembly, scaffold: SMTD_scaffold0018568